rnacentral:rRNA from 1 species
AGUACGACGGAGCACGUGAAAUUCCGUCGGAAUCUGGGAGGACCAUCUCCUAAGGCUAAAUACUCUCUAGUGACCGAUAGUGAACCAGUACCGUGAGGGAAAGGUGAAAAGCACCCCGGAAGGGGAGUGAAAUAGAACCUGAAACCGUGUGCUUACAAGUAGUCAGAGCCCGUUAAUGGGUGAUGGCGUGCCUUUUGUAGAAUGAACCGGCGAGUUACGAUUUGAUGCAAGGUUAAGCAGUAAAUGUGGAGCCGUAGCGAAAGCGAGUCUGAAUAGGGCGUUUAGUAUUUGGUCGUAGACCCGAAACCAGGUGAUCUACCCUUGGUCAGGUUGAAGUUCAGGUAACACUGAAUGGAGGACCGAACCGACUUACGUUGAAAAGUGAGCGGAUGAACUGAGGGUAGCGGAGAAAUUCCAAUCGAACCUGGAGAUAGCUGGUUCUCUCCGAAAUAGCUUUAGGGCUAGCCUCAAGUGAUGAUUAUUGGAGGUAGAGCACUGUUUGGACGAGGGGCCCCUCUCGGGUUACCGAAUUCAGACAAACUCCGAAUGCCAAUUAAUUUAACUUGGGAGUCAGAACAUGGGUGAUAAGGUCCGUGUUCGAAAGGGAAACAGCCCAGACCACCAGCUAAGGUCCCAAAAUAUAUGUUAAGUGGAAAAGGAUGUGGCGUUGCCCAGACAACUAGGAUGUUGGCUUAGAAGCAGCCAUCAUUUAAAGAGUGCGUAAUAGCUCACUAGUCGAGUGACACUGCGCCGAAAAUGUACCGGGGCUAAACAUAUUACCGAAGCUGUGGAUUGUCCUUUGGACAAUGGUAGGAGAGCGUUCUAAGGGCGUUGAAGCAUGAUCGUAAGGACAUGUGGAGCGCUUAGAAGUGAGAAUGCCGGUGUGAGUAGCGAAAGACGGGUGAGAAUCCCGUCCACCGAUUGACUAAGGUUUCCAGAGGAAGGCUCGUCCGCUCUGGGUUAGUCGGGUCCUAAGCUGAGGCCGACAGGCGUAGGCGAUGGAUAACAGGUUGAUAUUCCUGUACCACCUAUAAUCGUUUUAAUCGAUGGGGGGACGCAGUAGGAUAGGCGAAGCGUGCGAUUGGAUUGCACGUCUAAGCAGUAAGGCUGAGUAUUAGGCAAAUCCGGUACUCGUUAAGGCUGAGCUGUGAUGGGGAGAAGACAUUGAGUCUUCGAGUCGUUGAUUUCACACUGCCGAGAAAAGCCUCUAGAUAGAAAAUAGGUGCCCGUACCGCAAACCGACACAGGUAGUCAAGAUGAGAAUUCUAAGGUGAGCGAGCGAACUCUCGUUAAGGAACUCGGCAAAAUGACCCCGUAACUUCGGGAGAAGGGGUGCUCUUUAGGGUUAACGCCCAGAAGAGCCGCAGUGAAUAGGCCCAAGCGACUGUUUAUCAAAAACACAGGUCUCUGCUAAACCGUAAGGUGAUGUAUAGGGGCUGACGCCUGCCCGGUGCUGGAAGGUUAAGAGGAGUGGUUAGCUUCUGCGAAGCUACGAAUCGAAGCCCCAGUAAACGGCGGCCGUAACUAUAACGGUCCUAAGGUAGCGAAAUUCCUUGUCGGGUAAGUUCCGACCCGCACGAAAGGCGUAACGAUUUGGGCACUGUCUCAACGAGAGACUCGGUGAAAUCAUAGUACCUGUGAAGAUGCAGGUUACCCGCGACAGGACGGAAAGACCCCGUGGAGCUUUACUGUAGCCUGAUAUUGAAAUUCGGCACAGCUUGUACAGGAUAGGUAGGAGCCUUUGAAACGUGAGCGCUAGCUUACGUGGAGGCGCUGGUGGGAUACUACCCUAGCUGUGUUGGCUUUCUAACCCGCACCACUUAUCGUGGUGGGAGACAGUGUCAAGCGGGCAGUUUGACUGGGGCGGUCGCCUCCUAAAAGGUAACGGAGGCGCUCAAAGGUUCCCUCAGAAUGGUUGGAAAUCAUUCAUAGAGUGUAAAGGCAUAAGGGAGCUUGACUGCGAGACCUACAAGUCGAGCAGGGUCGAAAGACGGACUUAGUGAUCCGGUGGUUCCGCAUGGAAGGGCCAUCGCUCAACGGAUAAAAGCUACCCCGGGGAUAACAGGCUUAUCUCCCCCAAGAGUUCACAUCGACGGGGAGGUUUGGCACCUCGAUGUCGGCUCAUCGCAUCCUGGGGCUGUAGUCGGUCCCAAGGGUUGGGCUGUUCGCCCAUUAAAGCGGUACGCGAGCUGGGUUCAGAACGUCGUGAGACAGUUCGGUCCCUAUCCGUCGUGGGCGUAGGAAAUUUGAGAGGAGCUGUCCUUAGUACGAGAGGACCGGGAUGGACAUACCUCUGGUGUACCAGUUGUCGUGCCAACGGCAUAGCUGGGUAGCUAUGUGUGGACGGGAUAAGUGCUGAAAGCAUCUAAGCAUGAAGCCCCCCUCAAGAUGAGAUUUCCCAACUUCGGUUAUAAGAUCCCUCAAAGAUGAUGAGGUUAAUAGGUUCGAGGUGGAAGCAUGGUGACAUGUGGAGCUGACGAAUACUAAUCGAUCGAAGACUUAAUCAA